AAUAAAUACAUGCACUGCUGUGAUGCUGCAAUGGGGAGGAGGCAAAAACAAGGGGUGUCUUUUACAGGCUCAGUGUGCCCAACAUCAGACUUGCAGAAAAUGUGAACUGAUUCUCAGGUGUGAUUCAUCUAAUGAAAUGCUGCAUUUGUGAUGGAUGUGUCUAAUCUGAAUGGACCUCUUAGACUCUACUGAGUGGAAAUACAGUAAAUGGAGCCCAGGGAAAGGUGCCAGAAUCCAGGUCCUUCCCAGCCAAGAGCUGGCACUGCUGCCCACUGCCAUAUUCCCAGCCCAAACCCACUUCACCAUCCCUCUGCGUCUGGAGGGAGUGCUGGGAAGGAUUUUCUGCCUGGAACAUCUAAAAUUGCUGGUCUUGUGCCCCUUUCUCUACACCACAUGUGCAUCACUUUUUAUUCCCUGCCAAUUUCAAAGUUAUCUUUUUCUGAGGUGUUUGUACAUGAAGGAAUCAGGAAGUCCAGGCUCACAGGCAUAACUUCUACUUUGAUCCUCUGUCUUUAGUCACACAAAUGGUUUGAAAUCUUGUGAGGCGUAUUUUUGCUCAAAUUUCAUCUUCAUCCAACUCAUUUGUUGAACUGAUGGGUGCAAGUUUAAGUGUCCUGGUUGUUCUCUCUUAGCUGGGGCUGCAAAGCUCCUCCACAUCUCAAACCAUGCAAGAGACAAAGAAGUGCCUCAUAUCACAAAGCCAAGAUAAAGUUUCAUUGUCUUCAAGGAGUGAUUUGCAAAAUAGGGAGAGAAAUAGCUAUGGUAUUCUCUUUUUCUCUGCAAGAGACUAGAAGAUAGUCCUGCCAAAAUAUUCAAACAUAUUCCUAAAUCCAGACCAGCUGGCAGAAGCUGAAUAGGCAGAAGCAAGUUCAUAGGUAUCUUAUAGAAUCAGAGCUGCAAGUACAGUAUAUUUAAAAUAGAUAAAAAGGAAGAAAUUAAAACUUUUCUCUUGAAGAACAUAUUAGAAAUUCUUCUACUAAAGCUUUUAUUAUAUUUUACUUUUCAGCCCAAAUGACCUAAACAAGCAUAUUAGCCUUUAUAUCCUCCUGUUACAUAGAACACUGUACAAAAUGGACAUAUUGAUAAAUUUGAAGUUUAAGCUGAGACUGAACCUAUUAGCUCUAAUAAUUCACAUGGUUCUCUUAUGCCCUUCAGAGCUGUUUCUUUUCAAUUUUUAAGGUGAGACACUUAAUUAAGGAAUAUGUUUUAUUAUCUCACAUCAAACCAGUCAGAGAGAAAAAGUU